rnacentral:lncRNA from 1 species
GUCUAAUUGGCCGAUUUUUCUCCGGCUUCUCUUCUCCAUCCCGUCUCUUGGAAUUUCUUGGCACGCCCUACCUGAGAUCCCCUACGGGAGAUUUCCUCUUGGCUCCUGCGGUUCUGAGGACGUUCUGAAAAGUUCCCAAGCCCCACCUUUGGUAGCUGCCCAGACCCCAGCUUCCAAUUCUUCCCUCUUCUUUGCACAGGUGCUGUUGUAGGAGCAAGGGAUACAAUGAUGAUCAAGGCAGAUGCAGCCGUUACCUUCAGGUUGUGGAGUCCGGAUACAGACUGGAGGCAGGCAGCUGUAAGAUGUGUGAGAAAUGCUGCGCUGGAUCAGCCCAUGGUAUUAGGAGAGCAGGCUUCGGUAGAUUGCAAAUGACCUGCUUUCUUUCGGAUCCCGGGCUGCUUUCGGACACCUGUCGAAUAGUAAAUCCCAAGUAAGGUACCUGCGGUCGUCGGCAGAUCUGAAUUUUCUUCUUGGACACCUAAUACCCACAGUCCUCCAGAGACCGAGAGGUUGAUGUCACUCCCAAUAUCGGAGGAAGUAUACACCCCCGUGUGAGAUGGUCCUUAAUAAUAUUCCACGGCGGAGGGGGUGAUAUGACUACAUACAUGGCAGAAAGUGGAAACCUCCCAGGGAUAUUGUUCCCACGAUCCUGGAGGGAAGAAGAUGAUGUUACUUUCAAUAUGACAGAAGGUGGAUGAAGUGGUGGACUGCCCCUCCACACCUGUGGACACGCCCCCACUGAUAUUCCUUCUAAUUGCAGCGUGGGAGAGGAGGAUAUGACACGCGAUAUCGCAGGGAGUAGAAACACCCCUGUGAUACUGUUCUUAAUAUUCAGGGAGGAAGAGGAUGAUAUUACUCCCAAUACAGACGGGUGUACACCCUCUGUACACCGAGGGUGUACACCUGUCUGUGAAAGAGUUCGUAAUCUCCAGAGGGGGAGAUGAUAUUACUCACAAUAUGGUAAAGAGGCUGUGAGUCCACGGAGGAUCCUCAGAGCCAGCGGGGGAAGAGGGGCUGGCUCUCAGUCCCCGCCUCGCGGGGGUGACUCCCCCCAGUGCGAUGGGGGUCCUAAGAGCCAGUGGGGGAAGAGGGGCUGGCUCUGAGACCCCGCCUCGCGGGGGGUGCCUCCCCGCCCUGUGAUGGGGGUCCGAAGAGCCAGAAGGCUUAGAGGGGCUGGCUCUCAGUCCCCGCCUCGCGGGGGGUGCCUCCUCCCCCUGCGAUGGGGGUCGUAAGAGCCACUGGGGGAAUAGGGGCUUGCUCUCAGUCACCGCCUCGCGGGGGGUGCCUCCUUUCCUUUCUACAUAGACACAGUGACAGUCUGAUCUCUCUUUCUUUUCCCUACAGAUGGACACGCCCCCACUGAUAUUGUUUUUAAUGCAGCGUGGGAGGGGAGGAUAUGACACGCGAUAUCGCAGGUAGUAGAAACACCCCUUUGAUAGUGUUCUUAAUAUUCAGGGAGGAAGAAGAUGAUGUUACUCCCAAUACAGACGGAUGUACACCCUCUGUACACCGAGGGUGUACACCCGUCUGUGAAGGAGUUCGUAAUCUCCAGAGGUGGAGAUGAUAUUACUCACAAUAUGGUAAACAGGCUGUGAGUCCAUCGCGGAUCCUCAGAGCCAGGUGGGGAAGAGGGGCUGGCUGUCAGUCCCCUCCUCGCGGGGGGUGCCUCCCCCACUGCUAUGGGGAUCCCAAGAGCCAGUGGGGGAAGAGGUGCUGGCUCUCAGUCUCCGCCUCGCGAGGUGCCUCCCCACCCUGCGAUCGGGGUCCGAAGAGCCAGGGGGGAAGAGGGGCUGGCUCUCUUCGUGGAUGAUUCUUUUUCCAUUCUCAGGCAGUUUUCUUUUUUCUUUCUUUCUUUUUUUUUUUUUUUGAGACUGAGUCUUGCUCUGUUGCCCAUGCUUUGCUCGAUCUCGGGUGACUGCAACCACUGCCUCCCAGGUUCAAGAGAUUCUCCUGCCUCAGCCUCCUGAGUAGCUGGGACUAGAGGCGUGUGUCACCACACCCAGCUAAUUUUUGUAUUUUUAGUAGAGAUGGGGUUUCACCAUGUUUGCCAGGAUGGUCUCUAUCUCCUGCCCUUGUGAUCCACCCACCUCAGCCUCCCAAAGUGCUGGGAUUGCAGGUGCGAGCCACCGGGUCCAGCCUCUCAGGCGAUUUUCAUACCUGCAUACUCUGGUCACUACUCUGUUAAACAGUCAAGGAGGCUGAGUGCCACGUGCUGACGUCACUAAGAUCAAUACAGCAAACUCUGAAAGAUGGACAGAGAGACAGGAGAUGGUCCUUUAUAAUGCAGUGUGAUCUGUGCUGCAAUAGAGUUUUGGAAGCUAGAAGUUCAAAACGAGGUGUUGGCAGCACCAUGCUCUCUCUGAAGAUGCUAGGAAGAAUCUGCUCCAUGCCUUUCCAUUCGCUUCUGGGGUUUCCUGCAAGCCCUGACAUUCCUUGGCUUGUAGAUGCAUCACCCCAGUUUCCGCCCCCAUCAUCACAUGGCCUCCUCUCUGUGUGUGCCUCUGCGUUCCCUCUAUUCUUCUUCUAAGGACACCGACACCAGUCAUAGUGGAUUAAGUGUCCACUCCUAACCAAUUACAUCUGCAACAACCCUAUUUCCAAAUAAAGU